GCCCCCGUGGCCUAAUUGGAUAAGGCAUCAGACUUCUAAUCUGAGGAUUGUGGGUUCGAGUCCCACCGGGGGUG
rfam:Basidiobolus meristosporus CBS 931.73 K493scaffold_686, whole genome shotgun sequence.